GCACCCGGGUCCAGAAGAGUGAGGGUACCGCCCAGGGACAACCCUGAACGCUGAGGCGCUAUCGGUGCGGAACGCCACCCUUUCUCUCACCCCCUCGCUCCGCUAAAGCUCUAGGAUUCCCCUCCCGACGCGACGUACGGCCCCUCGCGCCAGACGCAGCAUAACCCCGCCCACCGAGACGAGAGCCCUCGCCGGCUGCAGCUCCGACUGGUUGCUGCCUUUGAACAUCCGGCUUCCGGGUCAGCCGCCCUUACUACGCAUCCUCAGACGAGCCUUCCUCUCGGAGAGGCCCGUUGGUUUCUGGGGGUUGUAGUCAUUCUCCGUUGAGAAAGGGUCUUUGGCGACCCAAACUCUAGAACGGGAACUUUUAGGAUACUCAGUCACCACAGAAGAGAGCCGGCCAAUCCCCAGCCUGCGGCGCGGUGACGUCUCCGGUAGCUGGGGCCCACCUUUCCUGUGCGGGCGAAGGCCUCGGCCACCUUGCGGUUCCGCCCUCCGUAGCAGGUAGUGAUAAGAUCAGCAACACCGCAGCUCUCCAAGAAGGUGGCAGGGGACACAGGGCCACCGCAGAAGAGCUUGGUGAAGGCGAUCAUCUCCAUGAGCCCCAGUCGGAUCACGGCCGCCUUGGUGUUGUCGCCAAAGCCCAGCCCAUCACAGAAGCCAGCCCCCACGGCCACUAUAUUCUUUGAAGAGUGAAGUCACGGGUCUGUCCAGGAUCCAGAGUUCUGGCCAUCAAUCCGUCUGGGUGUCCUGGACAUCUUAUCUCCCAUUAGCCUGAGUGCUCCCCCAGGGCAUCUCCUCUUCCCCCUGGACCAAUCUUUGGAGCCAGGGACAGGGAUGUCCUACAAGGGGCUAUAAGGGAAAGGAAGAAGGAAGCCCAAUGUCUGAUGGUCCUCCCCUAUUCCAAUGCAGCCAAAGCUAGCUGUGAGGAGAGCAGAUAACAUGUGAAAACGAAUCCAUCUGAAAACUCUCCUUCCACAACCUGCUUCUCCAAGGUGGCCCUUGAGCUGAUCACAGAUCUUGCCGAUGAACUGAUGGGGUACCACGAAGAUCAGGAUGUCAGCAUCCACUGCAGCCUGGACCACAUCUGGGACAGCCACCUGUGGGGGUGACCAGUGUUCAUGGGCCUGACGGACUGCUUCUAGCCCCUGUGGAGCCCCAUGCAGGAGAUCUAGGAGACAGGGUGAGGCUGGUGGGGAAGAAGGAGGGCAGUUUGGGGGUUGAAUCUGGAAGGGCUGAACCUGGAGGAACAAGACACUUCUAUUCCUUCCGCCUAGCCAUCAUUCCCUCUAGGUUCCAGCUGUCCUGGGCUCUUGAGGACUCCUGGAAACCUCCUCUCAGCACUCUCCUAGCCCUUGGCUGUGGGACAGUGAGGGAGGCCAAAGGAGGUCUGGGCUUGGCAAGAGGAAGAGGCCAAGUAAGAUUUCAUCACCCUGCUCCUUAGGGCUCCCAACUGGGAAGGGAGAGCCCCAGUCUUCCUGCUGUCUUUCCUGCUCCCCCUUUCCAGGUGGGGAGUCAGCCACAUGGAUCUGACCAAAGACCUUAAGUCCAAGGAGCUGUCUCCACAUCUACUAAUAACCCAGUGAAUGAGUAACAGGGUUAGAGCCCGAGGCAGG